rnacentral:rRNA from 1 species
CCUACGGGAGGCAGCAGUGAGGAAUAUUGGUCAAUGGGCGUAAGCCUGAACCAGCCAAGUCGCGUGAGGGAUGAAGGUUCUAUGGAUCGUAAACCUCUUUUAUAAGGGAAUAAAGUGUGGGACGUAACCUAUUUUGUACUUACCUUAUGAAUAAGGAUCGGCUAACUCCGUGCCCACAGCCGCGGUAAUACGGAGGAUCCGAGCGUUAUCCGGAUUUAUUGGGUUGAAGGGGUACGUAGGCGGCAUUUUAAGUCAGCGGUGAAAUUCUGUGGCUAAACCAUAGGAUUGCCUUUGAAACUGGGGGGCUUGAGUAUGUGUGAGGCUAGCGGAAUGCGUGGUGUAGCGGUGAAAUGCUUAGAUAUCACGCAGAACCACGAUUGCGAAGGCGGCCUGCCAGGCCAUGACUGACGCUGAUGACCGAAAGCGUGGGGAUCAAACAGGAUUAGAUACCCCAGUAGUC